GACAGAGGUGCCGAGCGUUAGGCGGAAUCACUGGGCUUAAAGCGUGUGUAGGCGGACCCAUAAGUACCUUGUGAAAUCCCACGGCUCAACCGUGGAACUGCUGGGUAUACUGCGGGUCUUGAGCGGCCUAGGGGCAGACGGAACAAGUGGUGGAGCGGUGAAAUGCGUAGAUAUCGGGAGGAACACCAGUGGCGAAGGCGGCGACCUGGUUCGAUACUGACGCUGAGGUGCGAAAGCGUGGGGAGCAAACAGG
rnacentral:rRNA from 1 species